rnacentral:rRNA from 1 species
UACGGGGGGGGCAAGCGUUGUUCGGAAUUACUGGGCGUAAAGGGCUCGUAGGCGGCCAACUAAGUCAGACGUGAAAUCCCUCGGCUUAACCGGAGAACUGCAUCUGAUACUGGAUGGCUUGAGUUCGGGAGAGGGAUGCGGAAUUCCAGGUGUAGCGGUGAAAUGCGUAGAUAUCUGGAGGAACACCGGUGGCGAAGGCGGCAUCCUGGGCCGACACUGACGCUGAGGAGCGAAAGCCAGGGGAGCAAACGGG